AACGAACGCUGGCGGCAGGCCUAACACAUGCAAGUCGAGCGCCCAGCAAUGGGAGCGGCAGACGGGUGAGUAACGCGUGGGAACCUUCCUGAUAGUACGGAAUAGCCCAGGGAAACUUGGAGUAAUACCGUAUACGCCCGCAAGGGGAAAGAUUUAUCGCUGUCAGAUGGGCCCGCGUAGGAUUAGCUAGUUGGUGAGGUAACGGCUCACCAAGGCGACGAUCCUUAGCUGGUUUGAGAGAAUGACCAGCCACACUGGGACUGAGACACGGCCCAGACUCCUACGGGAGGCAGCAGUGGGGAAUCUUGGACAAUGGGCGCAAGCCUGAUCCAGCCAUGCCGCGUGAGUGACGAAGGUCUUCGGAUUGUAAAGCUCUUUUGCCAGGGACGAUAAUGACGGUACCUGGAGAAGUAAGCCCCGGCUAACUUCGUGCCA
rnacentral:rRNA from 1 species